UUUUAUUGCGUUGUGUCACUGGGCAACUCACAAACGGACAAUUCAAUUUUAAAUUAGCUGACGAAGAGAAGGGAGCUUGUUCUCUUUAGUCUCGAGAAUAAUCUCAUUCCAUGGUAAUGGAGAUUGGAAGUAGGCAAAAUCUAGUAUAAUAAGUCACAGCAUGGGCCAUGAUUUCAAGUUACCUCAUUCAGCCAUUGCUGAAAGAUGUUUUUAUUUAAACAAGUUGUUUGAUGUGUGAAUGAUAGAGGUCCAUAUCAAUGACAGAGAUAUGAUUGGGUAUAUAUAGGUCGUAGAGAUGAUGACCAUAUUGCUGGGUGAAGAUGAUGGGACAGUUUUAUAUCAUGGAUCAGGUAAUCUUAAAAGGCAAGUCCUGAUUGAUUUUAUCACCAACGCCAGAAAUAUCUAAACCAGUCCAUGGUUUAUAAUAUUCCUUAUUAUUUAGUAAUUAAAAAGGUGAAUAUUAUUCUUUUAAAAAAGCGCUGCCGUUCUCAACAGGUCUUAUGUGUGGUUGGAAACUGUUUGGAUGCCAUUGUUGCAGGCUGGUUGCUACCCCCACUGUUUGCUAUUAAUCCUCUAAUAAAUACUAACAUUUCCAAAUGUAAAUUUCAGCAUUAU